CCAAGGGCGGCCUCGUAGGCGGGACAGAACUAGACACGGGGGCGCAGGCUCGGCGAGGCUGACCCUCCCCUUCUCCACCGAGCUCUCUCACCUCCAACAGGCGCGCUCCGGACAAGAAAACAAAAGCUCAGAGAGGUGAAGUGACUUGCCCAAAGUCACACAGCCUAUAAGCAGCAGACUGGGAUUUGAUCUCAGACAAGUAGAAUUACAGCCGCCCGCAGCUCCUCGUUGGACCGCCGCAGGGCCUGGAGCUCCUUGACCCCCUCGCUCAGGCUGCGCCGCAGCUCGCCCGCCUCCUGGCGCUGGGCCUCACGGCUGUCCUGACUCUCACGCACCUUGC